rnacentral:lncRNA from 1 species
UGAUGAUAGAGGACUACCUAAAUCCAAUUCUUCCAUGCGUACUUGUGGAGAAUCUCCUACAACUACAAGUUCAGAUUCAUUCUUAGAUCCUAUAGAUAAUGUGUUCAGCUCUCAAAUGGAUGUGCAGUGUGGAGGGUUUUUUUCUUCUAGUAUGCUUGAAUUUGAUGAUGUUCUAGGGAGCUAUGAUGAUUUAUAAAUUGAUAUCUGAUGCAUUUCAUAAGCAUAUAGUUAGGAUUUCCGCUUGAAGAUUAUCACAAUUCUAAUGUAUGUUGGGAAAUUGUUUGUCAGAAUUGAACAGUCAUAAAAUUGGAAAAGAUUUUUGUCUUUUGUGCGUCAUGGAGAGAUAAAAUUGGCGUCACUCAAACAAAGGGCACUUAAGAAAGGUCACCACUUUUUAGUCAUUAAUUAAAAGUAUAUUCUUAUUUAUUAAAAAGUAAAAUAAAGCCGGAUUUUGGAACAUACAAAUGAAACCUUUUUGUAAUAAGCAUGUACACA